UGAAGCCCCCUUCUCUCUCUAGAACUUCUCUUCCGCUCACUCUCUCUCUCGCACGCCGGCCACGGCGCAACUUGUCGUCGACAACGCGACCGAAAACCCAAAGUCACCGAUUCUCCCUCUGUCUCACCGAUAUUUCUCUCUUCUCUUAUCAACCAUCACCGUCCAUUGAUCGGAGUACGUUCGAUGCAUUUGCCACCAUCAAACUCGAGGUCGGAAGUUUUGGUUGGAAUUUACUGCUGUCCAGCGGAAGUUCGGAAUUAGGCAUUUUGGCACAACUUGGGCUAGAUCGAAGUGGGAAAGGCGUAAAAUCCCGGGGGAUUGAGUAAUUGAUUGUUGCGAACCAAAGGCCAAGUGUUGAUUUAACGCUCGUCAUUAGUCGUAGAUCUCCAUUAUGCUUGUAUGUUUAUAGUAAAUUUUUGCAUCAUGGAGUAGUUAGAUGUGAUAAGAGUGAGGUUAAAAACUUGUGUUGAAUUUCCCUCUUAGAACGAAAUCAUGUGUAUGUAACUUUUAAGCUGAUUGUGAACUUUACUGAAACUCUGAAACUGUUUGAAUAAGUGUGUGGUGAGACACACUUGCGGCGUUAUGGAGUUUUAAAGUUAAGUUACAUA